AUUAGUGCAGUAUCAUCAUUUAUAGAGAGCCGUGCAGUUCCUUUUUUUUAGAAUACAUCGGGAUUAGUGUAUCAUCAUUUAUAUAGAGCGUGCAGUUCUUGACUGUCGGUGUCGAUCGCUGGUUUAUAUGCUGCAAACGAACUUGUUAGCUGUUCAGAUUAGGGCCGGUGCGCGGGGGUGAUCUUGGCUCGAGAAAGUUACAAUAUCCAUCCAUGUUUUUGUUUUAAUUUGUUUGCUUAAGGUGCCAGCGCCAUCCACCUGAUCCGUCGCCUUAUUCCUCUUGUUUUUCUUUUUUAUUUUGCAAAGAUUUUUUCCUCUUGUUUUUCGUCUUCUCCAUUUCACCGUCCAGUCCUCUUCAACAGAUCAACACCCGCAUUUCCCCUUCCAAGGCACUCCCACUUUCCGUAACGCUUUCCCGUUGAUGUCGAUCAGCCUAUCUAUCCUUCAAGCACAUGUCUUUUUUUUUUGUCUGAGAAGCUCUUCUCAUUACCCCUCUCCUUCUCCUUCCUCCUCUUUCCUUCACUCUAAUUCGAAUAAAUGUUCGUCUCGUAAAACUAACAUGUGAAAGAUUGCAUGUUAGUUUUUCUUGCUUUUUUUUUCUUUGCUUCAAUGAACCUUCCACUUACAAUGGCACACGGGGUUGAUAUGCAAAUAAUUUUACUGGAACUUUAGUUGGGAUUGAAAAGUUAUGGAUAUAAUAGCCGAAACAAAAUAUGCUGAUUGCAUUACUCUAAUUCUUAGGCAACACUGGAAAUACACAAACAGAUGCUCAAGCAUGAAGUGGCUAUUUCAGCUCAAGGAUAUUCGCUGCAAAAAGGAGGUUGUUGUCUGGAAGCACAGUUGCUUGAUAGUAGUUUAGUGCAGAAUACCUCCAAGCAGGACUUGAACUCAAAUGAGUCCAAGAAGAGGAUUUUUCUGCCUGAAAAUAAGGAGGCACAUGUUUCUACUGAAAAGCAGGCAACUACGGGCUCUUUUGCAUGAUCAAAUUCUGUCCAAUAUCUCAGGCCUGACCUUAUGGGUACAUCAUGUGAAAAUGCAUGUACGACGCAGGAGAAAUGAAAAAGGAUGCAGCCCAGAGGUGAGUUCGACUAAAGAACUUUCAGGGUUUAUUUUUUUUCCUCUUGGAAAAGGAUGAGCGUGUGUUAAUUAGAAAAGUUAUUUUGUAAACUGGAAUUUAAUACAUAACAUUUUCUCAUUAUGUAUCAAUUUUGUAAGGAAUGAAAUUCUUUUGUACACGGUGUGGUUUAUGAAAGAACAUCCAAGAGAGGAAGUUUUGAUGUGUUUUCGACCACAUCAUUUUUUU